CGUCGGAAUAUACAUCUUCAAAACUUUGAAUCAUUUGAAAUAUAUGAUGCAUUAAAACUUUUUUUUGGACUUAAUCAAAUUAGACCCAAUCUAACCUAGAAACAUGUAGCUCAAAUUUGAAUCUGCGCCAUCUUACUUGUCACGUUUAACCUCUCACUUGGAUUUAGCGGCAAAUCUGUGUGCCAUUUAACACAGUGAAUCUACCGUGUAGAUCUUGAUCGGCGACGCCGUAGCUUCAGAUGGCGACCCACUCUCUCAACACCUUCCUACAACGCAGCAUCAGUUUUGUUUUGAGCGCACGAAAUCUUCGGACCCAAGCAGAAUCUCGCGCUUCUGCAUUUUCAGACAAACCGAACCUGAAAAGCCUAAUUGCUGGAUUCAAAUCUCCUAGUCGGAGUCCAUUGCCGGUGCUUCAAAAUUGGAUCGACCAAGGUAACAAGCUUUCGCCCUCGGAACUCAGGUGCAUCUCCAGAACCCUAAUAAAAUCGAAACGCUACAACCACGCAUUUGAGGUAUUGAAGUGGAUGGAGAACCAAAAGCAAUUCCGUCCAAACCCAGCUGAUCAUGCUAUGAAAGUGGAGUUAAUCAUUGAAAAUUAUGGCCUAAUGGAAGCUGAAGAAUAUUUUAUGAGCAUACGUGACUCGGCUGGAAAGAAAGCUGCCUAUCUCCUACUUCUACGUGGCUAUGUUAGAGACAGGGACACCAGUAAAGCUGAGAGUUUCAUGGAGAAGCUCUAUGAACUGGGGCUAGUGGUGAACCCUCAUCCGUAUAAUGAGAUGAUGAAACUAUAUCUUGCUACAUGUGAGUACCGGAAGGUACCCCUUGUUAUCCAGCAAAUGAAACGGAAUAAAAUACCCUGCAAUGUUCUGUCCUACAACCUUUGGAUGAAUGCUUGUGAUGAGGGAAAAGGAUAUGGGGUUGCAGCAGUGGAAACAGUUUUUAGAGCAAUGCAAAAUGAUGAGAAUGUUGAGGUGGGAUGGAGCAGUCUUGUUACUUUAGCCAAUGCUUAUAUGAAAGCAGGACAAUCUGAGAAAGCCAUUUUGGUUCUCAAAAAUGCUGAAGAGAAACUAUCUACCUGUGAUCGUCUCGGUUAUUUCUUCAUCAUAACAUUAUAUGCCUCUUUGAAGCAAAAGGAGGGAGUCUUGCGGUUGUGGGAAGCCAGUAAGACAGUUAGUGGAAGAAUCAGUUGUGCUAACUACAUUUGCAUACUAACAUGCUUGGUGAAGCUUGGGGACAUAGCACGAGCCGAGAGAAUCUUCAAAGAAUGGGAGUCUAAUUGUCUGAAAUAUGAUAUCAGAGUCUCUAAUGUUCUUUUAGGUGCUUAUGUGCGGAAUGGGUCAAUUGAAGAAGCUGAAGCAUUACAUCUUCACACAUUGCAGAAGGGUGGUUAUCCAAACUACAAGACAUGGGAGAUUCUCAUUGAAGGAUAUGUCAAGAGGCAAAGGAUGGACGAGGCUAUUAUUGCCAUGAAAAGAGCUUUGGCUAUGGUGAAAGACUGUCAUUGGAGGCCGCCACAAGGACUUGUAUUAGCCAUAGCUGAGUAUUUGGAGAAAUGUGGGAAUUUUGAAUAUGCAAACGAGUACAUCACAGAUAUUCGUAAUCUAGGUCUUGGAAGUUUAUCAUUGUAUAAAAUAUUGCUUAGAAUGCACUUUUCUGCUAAAAAACCACCUCUACAUAUCCUUAAAAUGAUCAAUGAAGACAAAAUUGAGAUGGAUAGUGAGACAUUUUCCAUUCUUAAAGCCUUCACAGAUAGGUUGAAGUGUUUGGAGGAGAAGCAGUAAUCUGGAAGUCAACUUUUUCAUCCGGUGAAUAUUUUUUUAACAGACAAUUUAAUUUGUUUUCAUACUAAUACCAUUCUUAGGGUCUUGCUUAUUUGUGCCCUUAGAAUACCAUUCUUAGGGUCUUGCUUAUUUGUGCCCCUAGAAUUAUAGUUGAGCGGUUGAAAUGGAGGAGGGUUUCAAGGAUUUUAUGUGAGAGAAAGAUACCGCUCAAGUUGAAGGGAAAGUUUAUCGGACUGCGGUAAGACAUGCAAUGUUGUAUGUGAUAGAAUGUUGGACGCUUAAGAAUCAACACGAGAAUAAAGUAAGUGUAGCAGAGAUGAGGAUGUUGCGUUGGAUGUGUAGUAAGCUAUGUGUAGCGUAUGGGUUAUAAGCUAGUGUUGUAGCAAACUCUUUCGUAGUCGAAGAGCUAGUGUAGCUGUCGAAAUGUGCUAGGUUAUUAGCAUGUCAAAUUGGACCAGUCUAUUAGCCUAAUUGUGUAGUAUGUUAGUUGAAAGCUAGGGUUUAGUUUUCUUAUAAUUAGCAUACUUGUCCUCACUUCUCAAUAAUCCUGAUUAAAGGAAAAAGUGGUGUGGUUGAGAUUCAAUUGUAAACAUUGUUCCCUAAUGUGUAAUUGAAUCAAGAAUCUAGAGUUUUAUACCACUUUGAAUCGUCUUUCUCUUCUAUCUUUUCUCACUUUGUGGUUUUUUUGCUGAUAAAGAAACCAAUCAUACUCUGUUUUCUGGGCAUCGUUUUCACAACACUGUGUACCACCGACACCUCUGAAAAAAGGCAUCUCAGUUCGUAUCGGUGUCAGACACCUGCACCGACACUUGUGAUUACGUUUAAUUUAUUCAUUUUUUAAAAAUUAUUACCGGUGUCGCCUUGUCAGUGUUGGGGUCGUGUUUGAGGUGUUUGUGCUUCAUAGGUGGUAAGACUAGACAUGAUAAGAUUAUAAAUGACUAUUUUAGAGAGAGUGUUAGAAAAAUGGUGGAGAAUAAACUUCAGUGGUUUGGGUAUGAGAGAGAAACUUGUGGAUUCUGUGAUAAAAAAAGUAAAUCAAAUGGAGAAGAGUCAAAUAGUUAGAGGUCGAGGAAGACCUAGAAAAAUUGAGAAGUUAUUAAGAAAAAUUUCGAGAUUAACAAUUUAGGUAAAAACAUGAUCUUGGAUAGAAUUUUAUGGCGGAAGUUGAUCCAUAUAACUGACCCCACUUAAUAGGAUAAAGCUUGAUUGUUACUGCUUAUUUGUGACCUUAGGGCACCUAUUAAGGAUUCAAAUAGUAUAAAUUUUGCAUUGAUAAAAACAAUAUUUUCAACUUUUACCGCAUUGAAAGCAUGAUUAUGAUGACAUUAUUUUUAUAUUAAAUUCUUUAACACGUGCCUUUAGGGAUGGACACGUGUUAGCGUUUUUCUUAUUGAAUUGAAAUUUUUGUCAAUUGCAGAUCACAGAAAAUAGACAUUUGUUCAAAUUCUGCUAUGCAACUGAAACCAAGGUGCAACAUUGUCACAUAUGACUCAGAAUGAAGGCUUUGCAAAGAUUAGCAGCUGACUACAAUCUACAAUAUCUUUAUUCAUAUAUUUUU